rnacentral:rRNA from 1 species
AGUCAAUAGAUACCCUGGUAGUCCACGCCGUAAACGAUGAGUACUAGGUGUAGGAGGUAUCGACUCCUUCUGUGCCGCAGUUAACACAAUAAGUACUCCGCCUGGGAAGUACGGUCGCAAGAUUAAAACUCAAAGGAAUUGACGGGGGCCCGCACAAGCAGCGGAGCAUGUGGUUUAAUUCGAAGCAACGCGAAGAACCUUACCUAGACUUGACAUCUCCUGAAUAGCGUAGAGAUACGUGAAGCCCUUCGGGGUCGAGGAAGACAGGUGGUGCAUGGUUGUCGUCAGCUCGUGUCGUGAGAUGUUGGGUUAAGUCCCGCAACGAGCGCAACCCUUAUCAUUAGUUGCUACCAUUAAGUUGAGCACUCUAGUGAGACUGCCCGGGUUAACCGGGAGGAAGGCGGGGAUGACGUCAAAUCAUCAUGCCCCUUAUGUCUAGGGCUACACACGUGCUACAAUGGUGAGAACAACGAGAUGCAAUACCGCGAGGUGGAGCCAAACUUGAAAACUCAUCCCAGUUCGGAUUGCAGG